AAGUGGUCUGUAUAAAAAAUUAAAAAUUUCCACUUCGCAAUUUAAAUGUUUUUCAGCAGCUGCAAGGAUUUUCAAUUGACAGCUGUAGAAAUAAGUGUUGACUGUGUGCAAGUGCAGUGAAGUGAAUGAUUGCAUGAAACCGCAAAUAAAAUAUUAAAAUAAUAGCAUAAAUACUACACGAAAUAUAAAGAAAUAAAUAAAUAAAAAAUUAAAAAAAAAAAACCAAAGUGUUUAGGGUAACAGAAUUGAAAAUCCCUAAACUCUAAUGGAGUGAAUGUGCUAGUUUCUUAAAAAAUUUGAAUACAAAACGUUGAAACUUCAAGCUCAAGAUGAGGAAAUAAAAAUGAAAAUUUGACACACGCAAACGCCACAUAAGACAGCUGAGCCGAGCAUACAAUGUCUGCAGCUNUCUUCUGUUUUUAUAUUCGCAAAACCGGUGAUUAGGAAGUGUUGCACCCUAACGUUCUAAUGCAGACGAUAUGGGCACAACAUGGCCUCAGCACAUAUAUUACAAUACUACAGCAACACUAGAACUAAAACAGCGGCAGCGGUAUCCACAAAAACAACAACAGGGACAACAAUUCCGCAACAUUGUUACGAGCGAAACACUUCCGGCACACCAGAGGCAUGUCUCAUCACUAACGAGCGGAAACAAUUUGCAGACGAGUCAUCAGCAACAGCUGUUAGUAAAANUACAACAACAACAACAAAGGCAUCUAGAGCAAUAUCGACGGCAUUGUUAUCAUAUUGUCUGCCGCCCAUUGCAACAGUCGACAAUAUUUGGGGUCACAGCAACGCGGUCACGACGCCACUUCAAGAGCCGACUAACGAUCAGAAACUGCAUAGAACCAAGCUACAGGUGCUGCAUGAGAGUACUGCAAACGAAGUUAACAAAGGGGUAUAUAACAGUUUUGAAACGCCAACGCCAUGGAAACCAACUGCUGCCACAAAGCGACCAAGCUCCAGGCCAACAGACCCGACGCUGUCGCCGAAACAGAAAUCACACGAAGCUGCAGAUGAUAUUCAUACGUUUCGUUUCGUGGACAGUGGUAGGAGAGGCAGAAGCAAAAGUGAAAGCGCAGAAAGCUACGGUGACUUGCCAGCAGAACGCCCUCAGAGACUGCAACAACAACAACAGAAACAGCAAAAACGUUGGCAUUCGGAAAGCAGAAGCGGAGCAUUGUUGUGUGAAUGGACAAGAGCUAAAGGUAUUGCAAAUAUGUCAAGUGCAGGUGUGUCUAACGCCAACCAACAACAACAAGGACUGGGCAGUGAUGUUGCCGACAAAUUUGUUGGUGUUAUUGCAAGUUUACGCAAAACAUCUACAAGGAAUUGCGCUCGACAGCGGUCACAAGCUAUUGCUUACACGCACUGUGCACAAACAAAGGAGAAACAUAACAACACAAACAACAAAACCAAAUGCUGCCAAUCAAACGAAACGAAACAAAGCGAAACACACAACGUUGCCAGAGACUGCCACGCAGCUGGGGAAUGCGAUUGCUGCUGCAAUUCGCAUAUCUUUUCGUCAUGUACACGCCAAUCUUCCAGAAAUGCUAUCGAACAGCAACAACAACUACAACUCAGCGGUCUUUCAAACGGCUCCAACCAAGAAUUUUCUCAGCUGCUUGCCGACAGCUGCUGGUCGCUCUCUUGCAAUGCUGCACCUCAGCUACUCAAACAACCACAAACAGCAACAACUGCAACAACUGCAACACCUUUGCAAUCACAAUCCACAACAACAGCAAAAGUCACAAAUGAACAACGAAGUAUAUUUCAAUACAAAAGCAACAAAAAUAGCAAAUUGUUCUACAAGAGGGGUGUUGCGAACGAACUCUAUUUGGAAAGAGCUGCUGCAGUUGAUGCUGACUUUGGUGGCGGUUGCGGCACAAUUCUAUCUACGCUGUGUUGCUCUGUGCGUUCGAAGCUUCUGCUUGCCGUGGCCGACCUGCAAGCCCUGUCACGCGCUCUUUUCUCACUCAUCAUUAUCUUCAACAUGCUGCCGCUAUUUUAUGCAGUUGCUGCUUCUGAAUUAAGAGCCAGCGGCGGUCCAAAUCCAGCGGCGCAUCCUUGGAUACCCGUUGUGGCUUACUUGGAAACUCUGCCGAGACCAACGAAACCGCCAAAAUGCGACCAGACAUUCGUUUCACGUAUUAGCGGCCCACAGAAUGGCACAUUCACCGCGCCGUUGCUGCACAAUCACAAGAACCAUUCGCGUCAGUGCUUGUACACUUUCCUAGCAGGACCCGGGCAACGCGUCGAAGUACUUUUUACAUCGUUUAAUUUAAGAGGAAGUCCACCAGACGGUUCUGCCGUCGGUGAAUUACCAGCCUGUGUUCACGAGUACAUGGAUAUAUAUUCCGAAGUGCAGUCGUCAGAUCCAGCUGAACUAAUAAAUUCUCCGUUUGGUGGACGAUAUUGCGGUACAAUACCGCCACGAAGACGUAUCUCCAUGUACCGAGCUAUAGCCAUCUCAUUUUUUACCAACAAAAAUGUAUCAACACCCGACUUAUUCGAAGGAACUUAUAGAUUUAUAAAUGCAUCUGAAUAUGAAAUUGGGAUACCAAUAGCGGGUUCACCAUGUUCCUACACCAUUACGCCUAGCAUGAGUAUCAAUAAAACUGGGGCACUCAUAUCGCCAACUUAUCCGGGUGCCUAUCCAAAAGAUAUGUCAUGCACAUAUCAAUUCCUCGGCGAAUCGAAUCAAAGGGUUAGAUUAGAAUUUCGAGAUUUUGAUCUAUUUUUUGGUGGACCACACUGCCCAUUUGACUAUGUCAAAGUGUAUGAUGGUCCCGAUAAUUCGUCAGCAUUAAUUGGUACAUAUUGCGGACAGCAAAGGAAUUUAGUUUUAUACUCAAGCGAAUCGAGCCUUUUUGUUCAUUUUUAUACAUUGCCGAGAACAGCGAAUACCCAAAAUCGUGGCUUUAAAGGAAUUUAUGAAUUUAGCGAAAGUUUUGUUAAAUUAGAUUUUAUACGCGAAAAUGAUGGCAUUCACAUACGUGGCUCGGAAUGUGAUCAAAAGAUAUUAUCGAGGAAGGAAUCAACGGGUUUUGUGCUCUCACCAAAUUAUCCCUAUCCAUAUAUACCGAAAACUGUGUGUAGAUACUUCAUUUACGGCAUGCAAGAUGCGCAGCAUCUCGAACGUGUUCGUCUGGAGUUUUCCGCUUUCAAUAUACCCAAGGUAGAGCACAAGGACAAAAGCGAGUCCAAUUGCACAGACGGUUAUCUUAAAAUCUAUCUGAAGGGACAGGAAACAGCAGAUGCCUAUGACAAAUUUGACUAUGAGUUAUGUGGCAAUGAAACGCAGCGAGUGCUUAGCGAUGGACCACGCUUGGCAAUGGUCUUCAGUUCGGGUGAACUACAGGGUCGCGGUUUCAAGGGUAAAUACACCUUUGAAACUGAAUAUAAAAUACCUGGCACAGCCGCACCCGAUGGCACGUGCAGCUUCACAUAUGUAAGCAGUUCAAAGAAACGUGGCGAACUGAACAGUCCUCGCUAUCCAUCCAACUACCCAUCGGACACGAAUUGUUCGUAUCUGUUUCUAGGUGAACCGAAUGAGCAGGUCACGAUCGUCUUUGAUCAUUUCAAGAUAAAAGCGGAUGGUAACUCAAAUGCAACGGCUGGAGCAUAUGGUUCUAGCGCUUGCUUUGAAGAUUGGCUGGAAAUGUAUGUUGUUUAUCGUGAUAACAACGAUCGUUUUCUUGGUCGCUACUGUGGUUUGACAGCACCCGGCCCCGUUGAGAGCCCAAGGGGUGCGGUGGGUCUGCGUAUCACAUUGCAUACGGAUCAAGAGAACGUGGCUAGCGGCUUCAAAGCGCGCUACUUUUUCGAAUCUCCGCGCUCCGAUGUGGCCGAAUGCGGUGGCAACUUCUCAGGUCAGGACUCGGGUAUUAUCACCUCUCCCAACUACCCAGCGGGCUAUAAGGCACCCAGUCGUGGCAUGGCUUCAAUGGCAUGCAAUUGGAUAAUGACGGCACGGCCGGGUUAUAAGUUAUCAAUUAACUUUGAGCACUUCUCCAUCGAAGGCGAUCCAGCAAAUCGUGGCUGUCCUGCUGCUGUUUUGCGACUUUGGGUCAAUGUCGAUUCAGACCAACCGCCAUUGGAAUUGUGUGGCGAAAAGCCACUAAUUGAACAGUGGUAUUAUAUUUCCACUGGACAAACUGCUCGUAUCAGUUUCACAACCAGCGACAAAACCGUUGGUGCUCCGGGCUUCCGUAUUGUAUGGACUGAAAUACAAGACUCUGGUCCUGGACCCCCGUCCAUUGGACUGCUCUGUGAAUCAACAUACCACUUCCAAUGCGACGUGGGCUACUGCAUUUCCGAUAAGCUACGUUGCGAUGGCGUCAAGAACUGUGGUCCCGGUGAUGAUAGUGACGAAUUGCACUGCGACGGAAAUACACCACUGGUGCCAUCAUUAAUACAACUCAUUGGUUUAGCAAUUGGCGUGGCGCGAUUCUUACAAUUUUAAAUGCCCACUUUUAAGUGUCACAUCAAAAACUUUAAAGAAAUAAAAUAAAAUCUAAAGUAUACGAUUACUUGCAUUGUUCUUAACAACAAAAAAUAAAUAAAGUAUAAAUUGUCGAUUCGCAAGUAUUUUUUGAACUUGUUGAAAUUGCUAAAUCAACUCAAGCGAAACAUGAUCCUUUAAAAACUACACUUACGGUUGAUAAGGCGCGCCCAAAGCCACUUUAAGUUUACCGUUUGAAAUUGUUGCAAUUACAAAAAUCUAAACUAAAACAUUUUUCGCAUACAAAUAAGUCAUCUUUGAUUCAGAAACACGUACCACACAAGCGCCCGAGGAGGAUCACGGCGUUCUAAUUAUAAUAACACUAAUCGUCGUCUCGUUCCUAAUCUGUCUCCUA
rnacentral:misc_RNA from 1 species